UUGUGCUAGAGCAUCUUUGCAAUCACUUCUCUCAGAUUGUGAUUGUGAAGCAUUCGGCGAGCGAUUGUUGUCGUGUUGUUGCUUAAGGUGACGAUUGAAUCGGCACCGCGCGACACGACACGGUUCCUUGCUUAGUUUGAUGAACAAAAAGACGUCCCGCACACCCAACGUCUGCUAAACACUAGACUAGAGCUGGUGUCUAGAGGUGUUGGGUGUGAUUUUGAUGGUCACAAAAGUGCCGCCAUUUCAUAGUGGCAACAACCAGCAUACGUCUAUGAUACUAGUAGGUUGGCUGGUUGAUGAAACGGCAACGGAAUGUGCGCAUGCAUGUGAUCGAGAAGCGAUAAUGUUCGUA
rnacentral:ncRNA from 2 species